rnacentral:tRNA from 1 species
AAAAGAGAGUGUAAUAAUAGAACUGCUAAUUCUAUUCCCCAUAUAUAAAAAUAUGGCUCCCUUG